UACAGAGGGUGCAAGCGUUAAUCGGAAUUACUGGGCGUAAAGGGCGCGUAGGCGGCCUUCUAAGUCGAACGUGAAAUCCCUGGGCUCAACCCAGGAACUGCGUCCGAUACUGGAAGGCUUGAGUCCGGAAGAGGAGAGUGGAAUUCCCGGUGUAGCGGUGAAAUGCGCAGAUAUCGGGAAGAACACCUAUGGCGAAGGCAGCUCUCUGGGACGGUACUGACGCUGAGACGCGAAAGCGUGGGGAGCGAACAGG
rnacentral:rRNA from 1 species